rnacentral:rRNA from 1 species
CUUGCAUCCUUUGAUGGCGACCGGCGCACGGGUGAGUAACGCGUAUCCCAUCUGCCUGUUGCCACGGCACAGCCCGUCGAAAGGCGGAUUAAUGCCGUAUGUGGUCCUUUGCGGGCAUCUAAUUAGGACUAAAGGUUCGGCGGUAACGGAUGGGGAUGCGUCCGAUUAGCUAGACGGCGGGGUAACGGCCCACCGUGGCGACGAUCGGUAGGGGUUCUGAGAGGAAGGUCCCCCACACUGGAACUGAGACACGGUCCAGACUCCUACGGGAGGCAGCAGUGAGGAAUAUUGGUCAAUGGGCGUAAGCCUGAACCAGCCAAGUAGCGUGAGGGAAGACUGCCCUAUGGGUUGUAAACCUCUUUUGUGCGGGGAUAAAGUGUGGGACGUGUCCCAUAUUGCAGGUACCGCACGAAUAAGGACCGGCUAAUUCCGUGCCAGCAGCCGCGGUAAUACGGAAGGUCCGGGCGUUAUCCGGAUUUAUUGGGUUUAAAGGGAGCGCAGGCCGUCCUUUAAGCGUGCUGUGAAAUGCCGCGGCUCAACCGUGGCACUGCAGCGCGAACUGGAGGACUUGAGUACGCACGAGGUAGGCGGAAUUCGUGGUGUAGCGGUGAAAUGCUUAGAUAUCACGAAGAACUCCGAUUG